rnacentral:rRNA from 1 species
AUUCCAGCUCCAAUAGCGUAUAUUAAAGUUGUUGCAGUUAAAAAGCUUGUAGUUGGAUUUCUGUGAGAGUGCCGGUGUCGGCUGAUGCUUGUACGCAGGCGCUCUUACAUCCUUCUGUUAACUGUUCUUGGCAUUUUAUUGCUGGUUCAGGGCUCAGAUAUUUUACCUUGAGAAAAUUAGAGUGUUUCAGGCAGGCUUAUGCCGGAAUACAUUAGCAUGGAAUAAUGGAACAGGACCUGUGCGUCUCUCGGGGCGCCGGUCUCCGUUGUCGGUUUCGGGGACUAAUGUAAUGAUUAAUAGGGAUAGUUGGGGGCAUUAGUAUUUAAUAGUCAGAGGUGAAAUUCUCGGAUUUGUUAAAGACUAACUUAUGCGAAAGCAUUUGCCAAGGAUGUUUUCAUUG